UGGUUGCUUUUAUUUCACUUCAUUUUUAUUUUUAUUUUAUAAAAUUUUUAAAAAUAAAAGCCUUGUGUUUAUUCAUUUUUCAAGGAGUUUGAUUUGAGACGAAAAUGUAAGAGAUAUAUAAAUAUAUGCUGAUACCAAGAAGGAAUCCACUUAAGAAGGGCUCACAUCUAAUUAGCUAGUUGUUGAGGCAAUAAUUUACUAAGGCGAUGAUCAGCCACAUAAGGACUAAGACACAACUCAGACUUGUAUGGGAGGUAGUAGUGAAGAAUUUUCCUAACGGGCGAAAGCUUGACGAAGCAAUGUCGCGUAGAGGUAGAAGACCCAUGGGUUGCAAACUUCUUUUUCCAAAGAAAAAGUAAUGACAAUAUUUGAGGAAUAAACAUCAAUUAACUUUAUGCCAGUAGUCACGAUAAUACAGAAGAUGCAA
rfam:Gossypium raimondii Chr13_contig_224, whole genome shotgun sequence.